AACGAACGCUGGCGGCAGGCUUAACACAUGCAAGUCGAACGCACCUUUCGGGGUGAGUGGCAGACGGGUGAGUAACGCGUGGGAAUCUAACCUUCUCUACGGGAUAGCUCCGGGAAACUGGAAUUAAUACCGUAUACGUCCUGAGGGAGAAAGAUUUAUCGGGGAAGGAUGAGCCCGCGUUGGAUUAGCUAGUUGGUGGGGUAAAGGCCUACCAAGGCGACGAUCCAUAGCUGGUCUAAGAGGAUGAUCAGCCACAUUGGGACUGAGACACGGCCCAAACUCCUACGGGAGGCAGCAGUGGGGAAUAUUGGACAAUGGGCGCAAGCCUGAUCCAGCCAUGCCGCGUGAGUGAUGAAGGCCCUAGGGUUGUAAAGCUCUUUCAGUGGGGACGAUAAUGACGGUACCCACAGAAGAAGCCCCGGCUAACUUCGUG
rnacentral:rRNA from 1 species